CCUACGGGAGGCAGCAGUGGGGGAUAUUGCACAAUGGGGGGAACCCUGAUGCAGCGACGCCGCGUGGGUGAAGGAGCGUUUCGGCGCGUAAAGCUCUAUCGGCAGGGAAGAACAUGGCGGUACCUGGCUAAGAAUCCCCUGCUAAAGACGUGCCAGCAGCCGCGGUAAUACGGAGGGGGCAAGCGUGAUCCGGAUGUACUGGGUGGAAAGGGGUCGCAGACGGUAAUGCAAGCCAGGAGUGAAAGCCCUGGGCUCAACCCCGGGCCUGCUCUUGGAACUGAAUGGCUGGAGUACAGGAGGGGAAGGCGGAAUUCCUAGUGUAGCGGUGAAAUGCGUAGAUAUUAGGAGGAACACCGGUGGCGAAGGCGGCCUGCUGGACUGUGACUGACGUUGAGGCCCGAAGGCGUGGGGAGCAAACAGGAUUAGAUACCCCAGUAGUC
rnacentral:rRNA from 1 species